rnacentral:lncRNA from 1 species
UUGUCACACUCUAUUCUGUUACUCGCUGUGAUCCCGGACCUUUUAGCCACCGACGGAUCUCUGUCUCCCGCUGACUUGAACUGAGGGCGUAACCCAGACAAGUUUACUUUGACCUCAGGAUGCUACCCAGGCAGGCCUGAUAUUUCUCAUGCUCCGGAACACAUCCAGCCGAGCACCCUUAUAACGCCUCUGGUUAGAGCCCGAUGGAGAUCAACCCAUCGAGUCAACUAACAAGUGUACACAAUUCUCAAACAACGUAUUAGGUCAUAAGAGAACCUCAAUUGAUUAACUGCGCGAGCCUUAAACAUGGUAGAGUGCACAAAAAUAUUUAUUGGAUAAACAGUUUGUAUUUCAUGAAACAUUUAAGCUCAUUAGCUCAAUCAUACAUUUGGAAAAUAAGCCCACCUGUAUAGGCAAUGCCUGUCGUUUAACGUUAUCUCUGAAUUGGAAUAGCAGUGCUAAUCCUCCUGAUGCUCAAAGCCUACAAGAAAUCUAUUCUCAAUAGGUCUCCUUGAAUCUAAUCUUAUGUCAUGGUGACGUGCUUAAUAUUCUAUGAUUCACUUAGCCGGGUUUUCAAAAUUUAAUAAAUAAAUAAUUGAAAACUAAAAUUCUUGAGUUAAGAACACCAACAAUAUUCUUACUCGUCUUUCUUUGGUAAUUGGAAUUAUGAAUAAAACCAAUUAAAUUGUAAAUACUUUUAUUGCAAAAUAAAUGCAAUUUCAUGCCAUGCUUAGCAUAUAAUAAGUAAUUACUUAUAAUAUGCACAUAAUAAUAAUUUAAUAUUAUUAUGAAAACUAGUCAUUGAAUAAAUUAAUUAAACUAAUUAAUAGUUCAAUUAAUUAAAAUAGGGCAGCCCAAUUAAUUUAAUUAAUCAAGGCAGCCCAAAGUUUUAAAAUAAAACUGACCCAAAUGAUAUUUAAAUAAGGCCCAGCUGUUUUAAUAAAGUAAAGGCCCAACUGAAAAAUUAAACAAAAACAUUGGCCCAAGUAAUUGAAAUAAAUCGGCCCACACUCUCAAGCCCAAAUUCUCAAGCCCACACCCAAACCCCCCUCCCUUCUUCUCCCCCAUCAGCCGCACACAACGCACACACACACACAACUCAUCCCUCUCUCUCAAUUCUCGACUGCUCGNCGGAGCUAUCACGACUAAUAUUUCUAAGGCAUCAUUGGGUAGUCCUCAAACGAUUUGUAAGAGGACUCAUCAUUCAGAUCGUAUAGGCAGUGGACCUAAAACGAUAACAUAAAACUUUUCAUUCAUUCAAUCAUUUGUUUCUUUCGAAACCUUAAAACAUUUGGACAGUAAAUGUCCCUUUCAAUGAAAAUUUUCUUAAGUCGGAAAGAUUAAUGGAAUCUAACUCGACCAUAAAUUCAUUGAUCGUUAAGGGCUCGGGUAGUCCCAAACACGACAUACAUACAUACAUACAUUGGUUAUAUGAGUCAAAGGCUCAAAAUAACAAUAUGAAAGCGUUAAGCAAUUCAUAUGACAUCAUUCAUUGAAAGCGCGCACUUCUUAAAAACUUUGAAAGCAUUUAAAAUCAUUGAAACUUUUAAGUCGUACCUUUUUGUUGCGGCAGUGUGACGGCGAGCUGAGGGUCAACAAAUUUCUUAGAAGCCUAGGGGUACUAUUCUAGACUUGACAUCAAAAAAGCUUAUGGUUAUCAGAGACAUGAAAGAAAACAUAUGCUCUGAUACCACUCUGUCACACCCCAAUUCUGAUGAAUAAAUAUAAUCGAGGUGCGACUAAAAUCAUAAAAAUAAACAAGGAACAACCUUGUUAAAGCCCGAAUAAAAUAACAAGUCGGGCUAGUCCCUUUUGGAUCACAAGUUUAGUGUCAUGCUUCAGAUAACCAACAUUCACUGAUUGAAAUAACUUCAGGAUCACAAGUUUAGUGUCAUGCUUCAGAUAACCAACAUUCACUGAUCGAAAUACUUAUAGGUCUUAAUUAAGGAACAAAAGACAGAUACUGGCUAUUUCUACAGCGGAAGUCAAAUAAAGAGUUGAACUCUAGCCUCAGCUCUGCCCUGUCAUCACCCGCCAUUAACCUAAAACAUUUGAAAGUAUUUUUGGGCUAAGUACUAAUGUACUUAGUGGGCUAAAACUUUAAAACAUUUCAUAAGACUGAAGAACAGUUUAUCCUAAUCUUACUGACAUGACAUAGAAGGUUUUCUAAAGAGAAAUAACUUCUAUGCAUGUUAAAACAUUUCAUAUAUAUAUAUAUACUUAAUUAUUUUGCGCGCGUUUGCACACUCCAUUCUGUUACUCGCUGUGAUCCCGGACCUUUUAGCCACCGACGGAUCUCUGUCUCCCGCUGACUUGGACUGAGGGCGUAACCCAGCCAAGUUUACUUUGACCUCGGGAUGCUACCCAGGCAGGCCUCUUAUUUCUCAUGCUCCGGAACACAUCCAGCCGAGCACCCUUAUAACGCCUCUGGUUAGAGCCCGAUGGAGAUCAACCCACCGAGUCAACUAACAAGUG